rnacentral:misc_RNA from 1 species
GCAAACUUGGUCAUUUAGAGGAAGUAAAAGUCGUAACAAGGUAACCGUAGGUGAACCUGCGGUUGGAUCAUUACAGAAUUAUGAUUUGUUGGGGGGCUCAAGAAGGUUUUUCGCCUUUUCCCCCUUCAAACUCAUAUCCACCUUUUUGUGUAACGUUUCACGUAUUUUGGCGGUCCAAUAACAUGGGAAAGGCAAGGGAAACCUUGUUUGCCUGGGACCGCCAGCAUCAAACACCAUGUAAUAAUUUUGUUUGUGAAUUUGAAUGCCUCUUCACGAGGUUUCUGAAUUUGAAAAUAACUUUUGACAACGGAUCUCUUGGCUCUCGCAUCGAUGAAGAACGCAGC